rnacentral:misc_RNA from 1 species
AACGCACAUUGCGCCCUUUGGUAUUCCGAAGGGCACACCUGUUCGAGCGUCAUUACACCAAUCAAGUUUUACUUGGUAUUGGGCCCUCUUGUCCCUAACUAAAGUUAGGGACAGGCCUUAAAGACAUUGGCGGCAUGGUCCGGCUUCGAGCGUAGCAAAAAACAUCGCUUUUGGAGUUAACUGGAUUCAUGUUUCUUGUCCAUAAAAAAUAGAGUAGAAAUACUCGACUUUUUCUUAAAGGUUGACCUCGGAUCAGGUGGGGAUACCCGCUGAACUUAA